rnacentral:rRNA from 1 species
UACGGAGGGGACUAGCGUUGUUCGGAAUUACUGGGCGUAAAGCGCACGUAGGCGGCUUUGUAAGUCAGGGGUGAAAUCCCGGGGCUCAACCUCGGAACUGCCUUUGAUACUGGGGAUCUCGAGUCCGGAAGAGGUUGGUGGAACUGCGAGUGUAGAGGUGAAAUUCGUAGAUAUUCGCAAGAACACCAGUGGCGAAGGCGGCCAACUGGUCCGGUACUGACGCUGAGGUGCGAAAGCGUGGGGAGCAAACAGG